rnacentral:rRNA from 1 species
CUACGGGUCGCAGCAGUCGAGGAAAUUUUACAAUGCUCGAAAGAGUGAUCGAGCAAGCCAGAGUGUUUCUCUUAGAGAAACUUUUGUCUGCUUUAAAAAGGCAGAUGAAUAAGGACUGGGCAAGACCGGUGCCAGCCGCCGCGGUAAUACCGGCGGUCCAAGUUGCAUCCACAUUUAUUGGGUCUAAGACAUCCGUAGCUUGUUUUGUAAGUCUCUUGUGAAAUCUCAUGUCUCAAGCAUGAGGCGCGCAAGAGAUACUACAUUACUAGAGACCGGGAGGCGCAAAGAGUACGAUUGAGGUAGCGGUAAAAUGUGUUAAUCUUAAUUGGACUAACAAUGGCGAAGGCACUUUGCGAGAACGGAUCUGACAGUGAGGGAUGAAGGCUAGGGGCGCAAAAGGGAUUAGAUACCCUUGUAGUC